CCUCACAUACAUCCUUACAUCCCGUAGCCUGUGGAAUGGAAUGAAGUAAGAACCUCAGGCUGCCUGAAUGAAGUUUCCUUAUAAGAGUACUCCAGUGCUAAUGAUGACAACAGUGAAGGAACCAGCAAUUCAAUACUGGAGGGUGCUGCGGAGGGAACAUUGACAUAAGGGCAGGCAGCACUCAGCUCCCAGACCUGCACUGUGAUCCAUCUGUCCUGCAGAGAACUGGCUCUGCUUCUUACAAGUGCCACAUAACACCUGGAGGGCUAUGGUGGCAUUCACUCAAACCCCAUCUGGUCAAGGAAGAAACGGCAUAUUCUCCUUAGUGCUGCUCUCUCCACACCUUUAUGUCAGACCACUUCUGUGCCAGGGUCUGCCAGCUCAGUACUCAUUAUCCACGUAAGGGAGAGUAGAGCAGGGCCCAAACAGGAGAGGCUCUGGAUGUGACCAUCAUGCAGAUCGUUUCAUGGUGACCCAGCGGGAGAACCAAGGCCAGACUCAGAGAAAAACAAAAAACAAUUAGAAAAAAGAAACACUGCAGUUUAAUAGAACCAGUGACACAAACAAAAUGUGGACUCGAGAACAGCAAGUGGCAACUAAGGUAAUGAUAGAACUGCUUCACAAAUAAUUCGCUGUUUAGAGCAUCUUACAGAGUGAGAUUGUAUCCUUUUGUUAUGCAAUAUAAAAUCAGAUAAGCAUUUGCUGUAACAAAAGUUAUUUACAGUCACAUAAUUUUGAACAACAAGCACAUGACCUUUGAAAUUAGAUUGGUUAAAGUUUUCCAAAAAGUUAAAAGUUAAAGUUUGCCUGGCUUGAGUCAGUGGGAGAUUCCCUUCAACUUCAGUGGGGCUGUUGAAAAUCCUACCCUUCGCUGAUUGUUUGUAGAUAGGGCUGAUGCUUCCUACCUCUUCUUAAAUAUGCUGUUUCAAUUCUAUUUGACCUUUCUUACCUGUAUGAUACCAUUUGACUGAGUAGUUUACUAUCUUAUUGAAUACUAACUUCAUCAUUUGCUUCAGUAAUUGCCUUUUUUAUAGGUUAGAUAUGGGCAAAGACCAGACAAAGCAGAAACAGAUCCCAUCUACUUCAAAUACUGUCUGGCUAGCCAUAGUCAUAAGCUAUGUUCAGUUAGUAUUCAGAAUACUGCUGACUCCUUUCCUAUACCUUCAUAAAAAAGUAUGUCAUAAGGAUAUUAUAGUGAUCGUAUUUAAAAUUAUUUUUCUGUAUUGAAAUAGAGUUGACAAGUAAAGGAGUUUAUACUGAAGAAUUUAAGGUUUGGGUUUUAUAAAUGUAAUGGCACCGUAUUUUUUAAUGUUAAGCUAUAUUUGUUAUAUAAGCUAUAUAAGUUGAUAUAUUUUGGAGCAAGUGAAAAUGUUUGAAUUCCUUUCAGAAUGUAAAAUUGUCGCCAGAGUUUUAAAAGCAGCUCUUUGCAGGCCCAACACCUGGAAAAUAAAACUUUGGGAAAAGUAAAGGAAAAGGAACAUCAGUCUUUCCUCAAAGACUUCUAAGCAACAGUAAAGAAAAGCAAAAACAUUUAGACUUUCACUUUUUUAAUGCAGUCUGAAAGCACAACAGCGUUCUAGUUUGUCGAUUUACAUUUGUCUGUUGCCUUUUCCUGCUACCAUCAGCACAGUUAGAUGGUAAGUGAAGUCCCUUGGGCGUGUUAUGGUGAAUAGAACCCUCAAAAACCUUUUAUUUUCUCUUCUCUUUACAAGACAGCGCAUUCUCUAUUCUCAAGAUCAUCUUCGUGAAAGUAUCCAUGGGAUGACUGCUGAAGAAACAAGAGGAACUAACAGAGAAAAGGUAAUUAUAAGAAAAAGUGAAUUGCUAGACAUAUGUGGAUGCAGAUUUAUUACACUGGAUGUGCAUUUUUCACUCUCUACGUGAGAUAGUUUCCUCAACUUAGCUACAAAGAAAACAUGGAAGGGAUUGAUUUUGUCUGUUAGAAGAUUUCUGCUUACACUGGACUCUGAGAUUAGUCUGUUGCUUUCCCUGGGUGGCUUCUUACUAUUGCCCUUCUACAUUGAGAGCUCCUCUGUCAUAUCUUGUGUGAUGUCCAGACACCUUCUCCAUAGAUCAAAGGUUGGCAGCCUGUUUUUUAAGCCUUUUUUUUUCCAAUUACUUGCAUGUACAACAGGUGCUGAGGCUCAUUUGUUUUGUUUGUUUCUACCAUUUUGACCCUUCAGUGUAAAUAUGGCUAAGGUUUUAAACCAACUAGAGCAGCACUGAGUGCAGCAUAAGUUAAUCUCCUUGAUUUUUUUCGACAUUCUGAAUGGAUUUUGUAGCUUGAACUGUGCUCUGUGCUUCUGAAGACAGACUGCUACCAUUGCUGGAUGUGACUGCUUUACACAGUGUUUGCCUACAGCCCCAUUACGCAGCACUCACAAACUGUUGUAGAGACACAGGCUAAGAAAUGGCAUACCAUGAGUACAAAUACCCACGGUUAGGGUUAACAGCCUUUUUGAAGAUGCAUUGACCAGUUCAGGGGAGCACUUUUCAGAGAUCUGCCUAAACAAGUUUUGUGAUAGAAUUUAAAAGAAAAAAAAAAAUCCAGCACCUCAAGUCUAUAGCACAAUACCCUUUUCCUGUCUGCUUAUCUUCCUUUCCAUUGGCAUGAAGUUAAAGUAGAAACCCAGGCUCAGUGUCAUACAGCUUAAUAAAUUUUAUAGAAGAUACUGUUCGAGAAAAAACUUACUGCGUCUUUUAGAUGAUUGACAAUUUAGGAAGUCAGAAUUUCAGGCUUUUAAGUCUUUCUCCAUUGAACAUAAUUAAACAUUAACCAAUUUUGCUAGUGUACCAUAAUUUUUAUAGGCUGCUUUAAAGCCCUGGUUUCUCUGCCAGGACAUAUGCUAGACAAGACUGCACUUUGCUUUGUUUGAAGAACCCAGGUACUGCAAGCCAAGGCUCCUGUGAUGAGUUUGUGCUCAUAAACACUGACCUGCUCACAAAGAGAAGGAAUAUUUGCCUGUUGCUUUCUGUAUUAAAAUACUAACUUGGACUACAGGAGCCUCCUUCUGCUCUGCCCCUCUCAAAGCUGGAUUUUUCUGUCCUGAGAGUCCCCAUUGAGUCAGAGCAGAGACCUGGCCUGCCACACCCAACACCGUAUCCAUCCCAUGUAUGCUGUUUCCAUCCUUUGUAGUACUUUUUAGAAACAGCAAAGACAGGAGAGAAAAAAAAGAAAAACAGAGUCUCGGUGGGAAUAGUCCAGCUGCUUCAGUUUUGACCGACAACUUAAACUAAGUGUAGAUGUCAGUAUGAGGGGUAAGCUAGUGAGAAAUCAGCCCAUAUGUGCUCUUAGUCACCUGUGAGCAGUAGGGGUAGGUCUUGAAAAGUUGACUUUAAAAGAUUAUAACCAUAAGAAUGUGAUGGGUCCAAUACAUUUGUAUUUAGUGUGACCACAUAACUGUAAAAUAAAGGAAAUUCCUAAAGGAAAUGUUUUUGUCACAUAAACACUGAGCCACAGCAAACACAUCUGGCAAAGCUGAAGAUCCAGCUCCCUAGACUGAGCAUCAGAAUACCAUAAAUAAUGUCAAGAGGCAGAAAUGGGGCUGUCAGAUACUGCUACUGUCAUUAUCCUAUUACACUGAAUAACCAUGAGCUUUACUUGUUUAUGGAAACUGUCAAUUGAUAUUUUAAUCUGUAAGUGAAGAAAACAUUACUAUUUUACUAUAUAAUCAUUGAAGCUAAUCUGUUUUCAGCAAGGUCAUUAUUUACACUACUUCCUUUGUAAUCCCUCACAUACACACACAGAAAAAGGCUCUGAAGCUUAAUCUUUCCAGUGCUGAAAAUGAGACUUUUAUGCAAACUGAUAAAAGUUCUUUGUUUGAUUUAUUUGUAAACCAAAAUAGUCUGGUAGUUUGCCUUGAAGUGAAAAGGAAAAAAAACAUGCUCUGUCAAAUCCCGUGCAUUCCUUUUUAUGUAUUUUGUCAUUUCCCCUCUAUUAACUCUGUCCUAAGGUAGAAAGAAGAGUCCACUCUAGCUUGUAUUUGCAUACUGUACUUUAGCUUUGACUUUCUAGGUUGAGCCUGUUAAAUUUAUUGACUGUAAGCCCCUUGAGCUAUUGAGGAGUGUGCAGCUUACAUUGUAUAUCUUUUGAAAGACGAUUCUGGUAGCCCGUUAUCUCUCCAGAUACAAUUUGUCUUACAUAUUCAUGGGUUUUUAGUGCCAGGACCAGUUCCUUCGUUGUAGCUAUUGUUUGGAAUUCUUGCACAGAUAUUAAGGCUUAGUAAUUUUUCAGUGCUGCUCAAGGGAUCCGAGUGUCAAAUGGAAUAACGAGUGGGAGUUUGGGCAGUGAAAACCCCUAAGCAGCUGGCUUUGGAGAUCUUGGUAAAACAAUAAAGGACAAUAAUCUGAGAUGGCAUGAAAGAAACUUUGAGGUGUCUAGGAUAUUUUGUAUGUACAAAUAGAGCUGGCCAGCAUGUAAUACUUUCCAUUCAUUAGCAAUUACAUUUCAUUUUAAUUUCAAGAUUUUAUGCCUGAACGUCAGAGAAAAUUUCAUUUGAGAAACAUCAGUGCAGGGACCUGGGAAAACAAAAUAUGUUCCCCUUCCUGCUACAGCUGUUUUUCUUAGCAGUAGAGCUGACCAGAAUAUUGAUUUCAUUAGGAAAGGGCUUAAGGUGGAAAGAUCUGUAUUCAGGUUAAAGUCAGGGAUUUCAAGUCCUCAGUUUCAUAGGUGACACCAAAAGCCAUGGUUGCCCUCUGGCACUUUGAGGCCUCUGGCUCCCAGGGCUCACCCACAGGGUCUCUCCAGAGUGCAGGAAUAUGAAGUUUCAGAUGCCAUGAUUCUGGCUUCCCAGUCCUUCCCCAUGCCCUGACAGAGCAGGAUGAUUCAGAGCCUGAAUGGCUGCUGUUCUGCAAGGCAGACAUUGAUGUGUCAGUCAAUACAGGCACAUUCUGCCUAGUUUUGGAGCUGACAAGGUUGGAUACCAUGAGCAGCACAGAUUUAAAAGUACAGAAGGCUGGGGACUGGGAAUCCUACCUAAGGACUUCCAGCUAUACGUAUCCCACCUGGUUAGCUUGAAAGUUAGCCAGAAUAUAUCUACAUCAGGAGCUAUCAUGCCAAAAUCUGUUGUGCAUCUGUGACAGAACUUGGGCUUCUAUUCAGAUCUUCUGCAUCCUGCUCCAGAUGUGAUUGCUCAUCAUUUGAUCUGAGAUAAAAAUAAGCAGCAGUGUACUUUCAUCUCCAGAAAGUGCAUACCAAAAGUCAAAUUCUCUUUCUGGGAAAGCUGUGAGAACAGCCCUGGAGCUGCAAGACACGAACUUCACCUGAAGUGAGGCACAGGUCAGGUCUCUGACUGCUGCAGUCGGUGUUCCAUGCCACACUGCAAGACUGGUGUCAGACUUCCAGGUAUUCUGCCCCGAUGCUCGUCUCUUCAGAAUCAGGUUUUGCAAGGAGCAUCCGUGGCUUCAACAGGUACAGAAAAAAAAAGAUAAUUCAGUCAAUGUUUCAUUAUGGCAAACACUGCUAAUUUUAUUUUGACUUUCUGUGGAAAAACACAGGGAUGUGAUGGUGUUCCCAUUUACAGGUUUAAAUCUUUCAUGGCACUAGCAUCAACAUGAGGGAGAUCUUCCCUUACAAGCAAGCUAGGGUUGCCCAAAACAUUUGUAAUGGCCUAAAAUGUGAACAAAGAAAGUCCCAUAUAAACACUGGGAAGAACUUCUUUACGAUAAGGCUGAUGGAGCACUGGAACAGGCUGCACAGAGGGGUGGUAGAAUCACUUUCUGUGGAGCUAUUCAAGACCUGUCUGGAUGCUUACCUGUGCUACCUAUUGCAGGGCACGUGCUCUAGAAGGGGGUUGGACUCGAUGAUUACCUCUUGAAGUCCCUUCCAAUCCCUGCAAUCCCGUGAUUCUGUGAUUUGCAAGGCAUUGGCUCACGUACAUAUCACCUUACAACUUUCACAAGCAGAGAAGUGGCAGCUCUUAACAAGGUUUAAAUUACAUUUACUCUCCAUAGAGAGGAUGUGUAGCAGAAGAGGGGUUUAUUUCUGACUUACAGUGUACAUGUCAAACAAAUACAAUUAUCUGAGUCAUUAUAGCCACCAUCAUCAUAAUUAGCUUAAGUGAAGCUGUUUUUAGCUUUCAUAUAGCCUCAAUUUGCUGCAAAGCAAAUCACCAAAAUAAAUCAAUAUUUUACAACCUAGCAAACACUGUAGAUUUUUACAAGCAAAAAUUAACAACAACAAUAAAGCGCAAAAAGCCGCAUGCAAAAAUUCAAACUCAACACGCUGUGCCUGGGCAUUUCUGAAUGCAGCACAACUCCUUGCCUGGUUUCCCUGAGCUCACUGUGACAGUUUCCAACACCAGACACUUUCAUUGAAGCAAACAGGAAACAUGUAAAACCAAAUAAAUAAUGACAUGAAAUGAAGCUUUGAUUAGGAGUCUGUGAAUAACGACCCUUUUCAACCAGUCAGUGUCUGAGACGUUUAACAUGCUUUACAUUCGGAAUGUAUCAAGCAAGUUCCACCGAUUAGAUUUUUAUAUUGAGAGGAACGCAUUUUAUUAGAGAGGGAGCUUGUCGGGGCUUGGUGCCAAUCGGCUUCAACUGGUUGUGCUGCAAACACAUCCAGCACCCUCAUCCUGAGGACUGCAAGAGGGAACAUGUUUCAUAUUUUCCUCUUUCCUGUUCUGCUCUACAAAUUCAUAAGAGGCAAACGCCAGUUCUCCCUUGGGUCCUAUAGGGAAAAAAAAAAGCCAAAAAAGCUUUUCCAUGUCAUGAGGAAUUCAUCCUUUUAUAAAGCUGAAAAUUGCUAUUAUGUUUGGAUGCAUUUGAACAAAAAUUACUGCAAUGAAGAAAGUAUUAAUUAGCUGCAUUUCUCAAGUGAUCACAGUAUUCAGUGCACUCAAAAAGUGGAAAAAAAGACAUUUUUUUGUAAGUUCAAUUAGAUUGUGAUUUUUGUUGCCAGCAGUAUGACAGGGUCUAAAAGCACAGCACUACUACGAAUAAAGAGAAAAUCUGCAGGUGAAUAUUUUAGAAUGAGCUUUGGGGCAGGGGAUAUCAAUUCCAGCUUCAGAAAGGGAUAAAACUUCCUCAUGUUUCACAGCAUGAGCCAAGUUUUUUUUGUUGUUGUUGUUGUUGUUUUUUUUGAUGAAUACUAGAAUGGCAUAUAAACUGCAGCUACUUAAUUCCACACUUACCAUAUGGAUUUCACAUUUCCUCUACGGCAUCUGGCUCUGGCUAGUGCCAGAGAUGGGUUACUGGGUGAGAUGAACACUACCCCUACCCUGUCCCUUCUGUGUGGGAGGGGUGUUUUUAUGUCUUCUGCAUAUUAUCCUUUGGUGUCCUUUGCAUAAAUAGAGAAGUAUUUGCUGCGAGGAACUUCUUAGAAUAAGUCUAGGAUAUUCUUAUGCUUAUGCUGAGGUCGCGUGGUAUCACUGUAAUCACUGUGCUUUUAGCAUGUCAUCAUUUCACAGACUAGCAGUGUGAGCUAUCGUGGUGUUUGUGCAUAUAGCAAUAAAAAGUGAUAUCUUAGAAUAAGGUACACUAUUUAAUUAAUUAUCAUAUGCACUAAAUGCUAAUAUCCAGAAAAAGGGUAGCUGCGUACAACUUCCUUCAGCCUGAAGUUGGAAUGUAACCACGGGUCAGAAACUGAAAAUUCCACUUGCAUUAAAAUUACACUUUGUCAUUAGAAAUGUUUAUAUUUCAUUAAAAAAAAAAUCUUUCAUGUUUCUCUAUUCUUUAGAGAAGAAAUAACUAUUGUAUUUGGUUUGGAAUGGAUGAACAUAAUCUCAAAUCUUUGUUUGCAUCACUGUGCAGCAUACCAUUUUCUCAAAUGAAAGCUCUCAGUAUUUGCAGAGCAGAUGGCAGAAGUGUGUGUGAUUACCUCACUGCUUCUUUGUACUGAGCAGAGAUGGAGGCGAAUUAGGGCCCAUCAGCAGGAGGGGUGUUUGUUUUCUUCCCCAGCAAACCAUCAAAGAAUCCCGGAGCACGUCUUAACUAUUGAGACUGAAAAUUGGGUGAAUUUUGUCUGCCUGAUUCUAGUAAAGACUUUUGUAUUACUUAUAGGGAAAUUCUUUCAGAAAAGUUGCUGGAAACGGUGAGCGCCGUAUAGGAGAUAAUACAGUAACCAAUCUUAGGCCUUUCGUGCACAUGGAAGCUUUAACUGAGUAGAACUGUGAGAAAAAAGCUGUGUUGACCAAAGCCCAGGUACAGAUGAAAUUAUACAAGCAAAAAAAACCCAUUUGCCAAUACUUUCUUUGUUUCCUGUUGAGACAUCUGUAUGAUGCUUUUGCCAAUGCAGCCACUUUCCACGCCAAAUUCCCAGCUUGUGCAGCUCUACCUGCAGCCAAACAUUCGGAACGCAAACAAGGCUAAAGAUGGCUAAGUCAGUAUUAUUUCACAUCUUGGAGCAUGAAAAUUUCAGGUUCCUUACUAUUCCUGUUCUGGGGGAGAAGCUGUACUGCAGGAGUUAGCUCCUGAUUCUGCAGUUUUGUGUUGGGCCUGUGACAUUAAGGCACAGCACCGAUUUCUGUCAGGUCACACAGCCUGAAGCUGAGCGAAGCAACAGUGAGCAUGAAGAAAGGAUGCAGCCAAAGCCACCUCUGUACCAGCAGGAGUCAUACGCAGAGCUAGCUGCUGUGCAAAGCUCAGCAAAGCCACAUUUGGUGUAUGUGAUAUCCGGCUCUGUGCUCCUUGUGAUCCAAGGCCUGGACCCCUGCAGAGGGAUUUCUGGCACAGGAGGUGACAUAAAAUGGUGCCGGCAGCCACUCUUUGUGUCUACCAAAGGUUAUGGGCAGCUCGACAUUUUCCAGCGUUAAAUGCCAGAAAUCUGUUCACUGGAAAAAUUUAGGCAGUGCUAAUUAAAAAGUGAUAGCUUAAUGCUUCCCAAGACUCUGUUUUGAAUUGUGGAGGUAUUAUCUGGCCUGUAGCAACAGCUCUAUCGUCUGUCACAGUUCACUGAGACAGUCAUUUCCAGUGGAAACACAUUGGUUUAGACAAAACUUUGCCAGAAAUGCAAUUUAAAGGGAGAGACGGGGAGGUGAAAAUAAACAAGAACUCAGUGGUAAUUGCUGCUCUUUUAGGAAGCUGAGCACCAGUUCAGGUCUGUAGUGGGACUUGCGCAGAGCAGGGAGGUGCGCCUGCAGCCACGCAUUCUGACCUUACUCCUUCCUACUGGGCUCUUUGUGGUUUUAGGAUGGUUCAUACUUCUCCCUCCAGUUGGUUUGGUUUGUGAGAUUUAUUGGCAAGUUCCUGAUAAGCUACAGGAGUAUUUUUAGUCUUUAGUAACUACUGUGUGCUGCCGUUGCACAGAGACAGCAUCAUUCGCAUGCUUUAUUAGACAUUUGCCUAUUCUCCAGCACUUCUGUGCUGUAAUGGAUAAUUUGGCGAGAUGCAUAACAAAAUUUGUUAGCUGCUUUUUGUGUGUGUGUGUGUGUCAAGCUGGAAGCUCCUGUUUGACAUCCAUUUCUGUGGAAUUAGCCAAGUGGGGCAGCAAACAGAUUUGGUAUUUCUGCUCAUUGUAGCAUGGAAGGCAAAGGUUAUCACCACCACAGGACACAAGGAGGGGCGGGCACUCCUCUGGGCUGUCUCUGGAGCUGUGCUGAUGGUGUCUGGUGAAGCAGAUCUGCUGCAAAUUACAGCAUGUGGUUAUGCAUCAAUUUACGCUCCCGCCUGUUGCCAACAACGUGCUGUGCAUGAAUGGAGCUAACUUGGUAAAUAUGCUCUCUAGUAACUGAAAAUAACCAAGUGCUGUUGAAAGGAAUAAUUAAUCAAUGUUUGCAAAGCAUUUAGAAACUGAAAACCAUGGUAUUAGUGCUAAGUGUUCAGGGCUUUAGCUUUCCCAUCAGAAGUCUCAGUUUUUCUCUUUGUUAGUCUUUAACCAAACAAAACAUUAAGAGUGCAAAGUCUUUUUGUCUAAUGUCCCCAGUCAGGUGGUUUUGUGCUCGGCAGUUGUUAAAAUGCAGUAAGUAGACCAGAAGAAACUAUAAAUGGGGUGAAUCAGCUCAUUUCUACUGAUGCUGGCAGAAAUGAGUUGACUUAUGUUAGCUGGAGAUCAACAGCAGGCUCUGUAACACAAUUUCCUCCACUUGCCUAUUGGGCUCAGCCAGCCAGAACCAGUAACUGGCUUAUUCCCUGCAGCUCCCACCUCUCUGAACCCAGGUGCCAGGGAUGGAUACAACACUGUGUUAGGGCACAGGCUUCCCUGCACAGCGAGGCAGACAAAUUGUAUGGCUCAGAGCUGCUAUCUGAGGCAGCCAGCAUGCUCGAUGAACAGCCCAGUGAUACCCGUGAGCAGAAAUCCCAUUUAUCAGCUGUGCUGUGCAGAGAGGUGGCACUGAUGUCUGACCCCUGGCUCGAGAACUCAGGGGAACAAGGAAGCAUCUGUGUCUUUCCUUCCAAAGUGCCUUGGCUCCCUCACAAACAAGUCUUCAUGAAGCUGCAGUCCCCAGCAGAAUGGUGGUUUUACCUGGGAAGCCAAAAGGGCUGUAAGCUACUCAGCAGGAACCAUUUGGGGGUGAGGUGAGGGAUGAGGUUAUGCACUUAGACGGCCCCAGCCAGUCCCCCAUGCCCAUAUCUCUGUGUGCGCAACUGCUCCCUUCUCUGUUCUGAAGGCUAAUCUGUACCUCCAGACGUUUACAGUCAAUAUUCUUAUCUGCCUAGCGUGGUGUUAAUCUGUAUUUCAGAGAGGGAUGAGUGGGAAGACAGUCUUGUUGAAAACAGGGCACUGUGCAGAAGGCAGUUUAAGGCUAAUUGGAUGGAAAAAGCAUUGCACUGGUCCUUCAGAGCAUCUCUUUUUAGGGUUAUUGUAUGACUUUCCAACACAAGCUCCCUUUCUCCAGCCAGGAACUUUGUCAGACUAAGUCUGAUGAUGUUGAGCAUCUGUUCCACGCUCAGGACUAUCCAGCAGCUCACGCUGAGCUUCCAGAUUAAUGUAAAUCCAGACGAUGUGCCCACUUCAGCUGUGCAGUGCACGAGCACUGUGCCCAAGUAUACAUCACAUGAUGUCCCAGAACUGUUCCUAUGAAUGUGUUGAUGUAAAAAUAACUGAUUAUUCAGAUGCUAGUGGAAUUUUCAAGACAAACAGGGAGGCCCAUGUGCAUUUUAAGUACUUCCCAAGUAAAACAGCAGUUCAGCACAGGUAGGGAAGGAAAAAGGAUUACAUAUUUAGAUUAAGGUAUCUCAAUGUAUUUUUUGGAUCUUGCCUUUUUUGGAUCUGCUCAGUGCUGGUCUGACUCAUCUCUUAGGUGUUUCUACUCACAGGAGAUCAGUGACUUUGCUGCUGCUGGAUUGACUGGCAGAGUAAGGACAGUUACCUGCCAAGUAAAUCCAGUUAUUCAGCCCUUGCUGGUCCCAAAUAGAGCUCUGUGGCCUAUAAAGGGUCACAUUAAUUAAAAUAAGCCAUCAGAACAGCAGACGUGCUGGGUAUUCACCUCCGCACCAGCCCAGGGCAGAGCAUGUUCAGCUCACUUCAGCAGCAGUGCCACAAAAUCUCUUCAUGACGUUUUUGACAGAGCUAAGUAUUACCAAGAUUUUUUAAUAGUUACCUUUGUAAUUAGCCAUUUUAAAUUCAUUUACUGAAAAUGAGAGGGGCUGGAAUCCUCACGUGUCUUCCUUGCUCCUAUCUUUGCUCGAGUUCACCAUAGAGAGCUUAGUGCAAAAUCCAUAAAGAACCAAAAAAGUGCAUAUUUGAAAGAGCAAUUCAAGCAUAUGUAGAAUGUUCCUGGCUACAUGUAAUUGCAGGCAAGUACUGACAUUUCUGCUGUUCUGGACAAAUGUAUUUAUUUAUUACUUUAUUAACCCACCUCUUCUCUUCAGCAUGUGUUUCUUCUUCUCUCAUUUCCUAAUAUUCCCUGAGUAUUAUUUACCUGAUUUGCAUGACAUACAUGACAAUUGCUUGGGUAGAUCAAACCAAUGACACCACAGUGUUACAAAGAACUAGACGGGGUGUUGUAGUGCUUUUUGGAAGGGCAGAACUUUCCUUUCUUACUGGUACUACUUCCUCAAGUCAGCAGUGCUAUGAGAACUGUACUCCUCAAUUCCACAGCCAACACUGAUAUUCUGAGACAAACAUUCACCAUUCUUUGCUGCUCUGAGUAUUCUCUCACCCCAGAGAGGAAUGAUUUUAUUAAUUUAAACAGGAAGAAAUAUGUACAAAAAUGACCCAAAGUCUGAUAUAUACCUGUUGGUAUUGACUAAAUCCUUAUCCUGUGAGGGCAGUGUCAAGGCACCUAUUGAUUGUUCCUGAGUAAAUAUCUUGUUGAAGUGGCACUGUCUGUGAAAUUGAAUUACAUAAAUUUUAAUGCCUACAAUAAAAGUUCAUCAGAACUAGCACAGAAACUUCUCUACUUAACUGGAGGUUGACUCAGUUUAUGAAAUGGAGCGAUUUAUCUCCCAAUGGAUCAUGAUACAGGUAUCCAAGUGAACCAUCAGUAAUAAAUAUGGUAUUUCCUCUGUAGUGAUCUGAACAGUGAAUAAAGACUUAAUUUGCAAGUAUUUUCAGAAAUUGGGGGAAAACACAGCGAGUUCCCAAGGGUGCAAGUGGACUCGUUUGUAUUUAUAAGUAAGUCAACAUCAAGCUGAUGUGAUUAAACAGUUACUCUGUCAGUGACUUGGCCCUGUUCUUUUCUCCAUCUGGUAGGCAGGCAGGCAGAUUAAAUUUAUGCUGUGUGUUUAUUUUCUUGAAAUAAAAUGAGUUUUGUUUAUAUUUCGAGGCAGUAUGAUGUGGUAACAAAUGUACCAAAUAUAUUAACUUCAAAAAAAAAAGGAAAAAGAAAAGAGGAUUUAGACAAAAAAGAAGACGUGCCUCCCAAGGCACCAUACUUUAUUUAAAGGAAAUGGAAACACACCAUUUUUUUUUUAAAUGCUCAUUUACAGACUUUAAAGAAAAUUAAAUUUAUAGUUUAGCCUCUGAGUUCUGGAACUACCAGUUGUUUCCUGAAAGUGACUUUGUAAUGAGUUUUGGGAAAUCAUUUUAGUAUUGACUUGGGCUGUAAUGGUUGGCUGUUGCUUUUUUGAAUAAGAUUAAUUAAAUUACUCUGAACGAGCUCCAAGUCCAUGCCCUUCUCUGAGGCCAAUUGUGAAUAUGACCAUAAUAAACUCUUAAAAAGUAUUUCAGAAAGUAAAUAAUCUCCAAACCUGGAAGUAUGUCAUUGUGCUCUGGUAAGAAUAACAAACAGCAUUUGCUUCCUUGUUUCAACAUACAUCACUUUGCUUUCGUACCUUGCACUUUCCUCAGUUGUAAGAAGUGAGGGUUAUUUUUGUUUGGUUAAUUUUCUGUACAACAGCAGGAGAUAAUUUUGACUGCAUCUUAAAGAAAGAACCAGAUAAGAAGUAAGUGCAUAGGCACAAAUAAGAGCUGGCAGUUGUACUUCUGAUUUCAACUCUGAAAUGUAGGACUCCUCUUAGUUAUUCAUACUUCGGUAAGCUCAAAUAAAAUACGGACCACAUUAUAUCAGUCUCAAUAAAAACAUACGGAAGUGAAUGCUCUUAAUUUAUAGAAGCUUUGAAAAUCAAUGCCAAAUAUGCAAAGAUUCCAUAAACAGAGAGGUGAAAGGACUUAUCCAAAGCUCCUUUAUGUGCCUGGGCUGAUGACAGUUGACACCAGGUCUUCAGAGCGCCAUGCCAGCGUCCGGUCCAGCGAACACUGCUGCUGCUUGGUAAGCUGGACUGAGAUAUCUCCCCAGAUGCUGCUCUGAUUUUCCACAGAAAUGGUAAGUACUUGGAAAAAUAAGAUAAAAAAAAAGUAAAACAUACCCCAAGGGAAGCCACCAAAAAAUGAUGGGUGUAUGUCUCCCAUAGAACCAUGGGCAAGGUAGACAACAAGAACUGGUGAAAGAAUAGAAGCAAAAGGAAAGAAAACAGUAGAAGUUUGUGGAGUAAUUUAGUAUGAGCAGCUGCACAAAGUAUCUUAACAGCGACAGACCAUCUGCAGUCCCAGUACAGAGAAAGAUCAACAGCUUGUGUGGUAUGAGCUUCCAAAGGAGAGUCUGCUGCACUUCUCAAAUCUCCUGUGAGUUCUCUGAGAUGGAGUAGGUGAGCUGGGAGCACAGCACUCCUGAGAAAAUUUGGUUCUGUAAGGAUGGAGGUUGCUAGGGAGCAAAGCCCUCUUAUGCCAUAAGGAAGGAUUUCUGUUUCCUUGGCAUUACUUUCCUUGCUAGGAAGUCCUGCUCUCAUUCUUUAGGCCAAAAGAUCUGGGCAAGGCUGGUUUGAUGGGCAGAUGAGGGUGGCUGGCAAAGGCUGUGAAUUUUUCUUCUUCCUUGUUCUUAAGUGUCCUUAACCCGUGCUGACAAGAGUAAAAUAGAGACUUGGAGGUCUUAAAUAAACAGGAAUCUUGCAGGGUACAGGUUAAACUAACACUGACAGAGCCAGUAGCUGCAACAAUUUGUAAUUAUAUCCAUGAUCCCAGUGCUCUCUUUCUCAAGGCAAAAAGAUUUGGGUACCAACUUAUGGAGUGAAAUGUCAGUGUUCCCUGCAUUCCCUGCUCCACUGGUGUUCCUCUUUAGGUCUUUAGAAAGAGAACUACUUUGCUCCUAAAACUGAUUAAAGCAUGAAGGAUGAUCUGGUUGAGUGAAUGUGGUAAGAAAUGGCAACCUGUGUCAAAGUUUUUUUGCUCUUAUUUAGUUUAUAUAUUUGUGAUGUUUUUCUACUUUUGGUAGAGAUAAAAGAUUUAUAUUUCAAUGCCUCAAAUUUGAGCUCUAAUACUAUUUUUUACCUUCUACUCUUCUUUUUUCUCUUUAAUUUCUGGUAUUGUUGAGCUUUGGAAAAGAAGAAAUGUUCUCCUGGUAUAUGUACUGGUUUACUUUGUAUUAAUUUGAUUACAUUACUGAUAAACUGAAUUUACUGCUAGUCCACAAACAUGGUGGAUAUGAAUGCUUGCUUCUCACUGGUUUUCUUGAUGGAAUUUUAACCAUGUUUUGCUACAAAUGGAAUCUCAGUUAAAGGAGUAAUUAGUACUUCUGUCUGUUGAAAAUAAUAUUUUAAAUAGCUGUAGUUAAUCCUAAGAAUUGGAGAAUACUCCUUCAUGUAUUAACGUGUUAUUUUAUAUGUUUAUAUAUAUAUAUAUAUGUUAUAUAUACCUAUUUUAUAUGUUAUACAUAUUAUAUAUGUUAUAAUAGCUAAAAUCAUAUUAUUCUCCAAUAAUCCCUGCUUGGUGGGAUGGCAUUCAAGCUCUGAGUGGUGCUGACACCUCUUACACCUCUAAGAAUGGAAAACAAAGCAGUCACUUGAGCUCUUUAUUUAUCAGCCAGUAUCUCACUGCAUGUAAUUUGUCUGGUUUUUUAGCAAAGGAAGUAGGACUGCAGUCUACCUGAAAAGCUGAUGUCCUAAAUGACUGAUGUAGAAGCAGGAACUGCCAUCACUAACCCUGAGGCAGCUGGCAGCUGCAGCACUCUUCAGGCUGCACCAGAGAUAAGGAACCCAAACUACACAUGGACCCUUAAGUGGAGGAAGGAGGGACUUGCAGAGGGCUCCCAGUGAGCAGUGAGGAUGCCACAUCUUGAGGCGCUGAUACCUCUGCUGCUUCCUCUCAUCUGCUGGAUGGAGGGACUUGCUUCAUCUCCCCUUGUCUCACCUUGGAAGUGCUGGAGGUCCUGUGUGCAGACAGCAGAAUACAGAGGACAGUAGCAAACUUCAUGUACCAAUGGGCAGUGACUGUUGGUGCCCAUCCAGUUCUUUGGAUGUAUUAUACAUGGAACUGCUGUUAACAUAUAAGCAGCCACUGCUAAAUUAUAACCUUAAAGACGAUGGGAUUUCACCAGUGUCAGCAUCUGUUGUUCAUAAAGGAAUUGGGAAAUGGCCCAGCGUCACAUCCAGCUCUGAUCAUGAACAAAUACACUUUGACUUGGACAUGACCUGAUAUUCAAACUAGCAGUAGAUGGAAAAGAAGACAAACAGUUUUUUCAUGAGUUUCAAACACACCUUAAGCAGCUCCGGGACCUUCCAUCAAGAUAACUUGAUAAACCUUGUACGUUUACCUACCUUGACAGUUGUUCAGAUGUCAUGCUAUUUUGGUUUUAGAUUAUUUAAACUAAUGCCUGCUGUCCCACAAGAUACAGGUGAUUGCAAAGGCAGAAAGGUCACCUAAUGAAGCCUGAACUGACCUAGGAAUAUGGGCUUGGCUCCAUUCCCUGCAGUAAAAUUUCAGUGCAGAAGAUCAAAUGUGAGAUUCACCUACCUCUGAGCACAGACGUGUUCCAGGACAAAGUUUGGCAUGCAGGCCCUUCUACUCAGGCAGAACAGUACACGACAAAUGUAUCACUGCACAGUGACAUCCAAGCAGCAUGCCACAAGGUCAGAGCCUGGGUCAUAAUUCACCCUAUUAUAUCUGUUUAAUCCAUUCCUUAUUCAUCUUACUACAUGUAUUUCCUACUGAUUAUAUACCUUGUCAUGCAUCUCCAACUGACUUUUAAUCUCCAUGAUUUAAUCUUCAUUAUGGAGUCACCGGGUAUGACCAAGUUUUACUUAUUAGCAAAAACAUUAUGUAUUUUUUGAUGUUCUAAUUGGAAUAUUUCCAAUCUGAAUAUCCUCACUGUGCUCUCUCUCAGGUGUCUGUGUCACCUCCAGUACUCUCAUGGACUGCACACAUUCUGCUCAUUAAUCUACAUACCAUCACUUCUGGUGCAAAGCAAUCAUACUUAGGCUUUCUGAAAGCAGUAUAACAAUAUUUCAGCCUAUAAGCCAAUCCAGGUACUCAGACAGAAAAUACAUCUAGUCAGUUGUGUUUACAUAAAGACAUUUAUAGGGUAUGUUAUCACGAUAGUCUAUUACUUAGUAGAGCUGGUUGCAAAGUAAGAGAAAUACUACUUAUUACUGUAGUUUAGACUCUAGAAGCCUUCUUUUAAUGGUUACAUAAUACCAAAAGCUCGCCCUUGGAUCUCCUGCUUGCUGGAAAACCUGAUUUCUUGUAUUUUUUUAAUCAGAGAACAAGGAGUUGUCUCAAACGAAAAAGAAACCAAAACAAAAAAAUAUUUUCAUUUAAAAAUUACUUUUUUUCCAUUUGUUCAAGUAAAUAUUAACUGCAGCAGAUAUCCACAGCCCUCUUGAAAAGGUAAAACUUCCUAAGGCUUCUAGAAAUGCACAGCUAGACAGAGAAAGUGAGCUAACAGCCUCAUUGUUAUUAAUAAAAUAAGCCUGGUGAUACAUAGCAGUAUCAUUUGGUCACCAUGGCCCCCUCUAGCCCUACCCAAAGCUGAAACAGAAAGAAUAUCCCACCUGUGUUACAUUAACCUAGUUUCCAAUUAAAAGACUGAAAUAUUGUAGGUUUUUCAUCUCUGUGAUUUUAUCUGUAGCAAAUAAAUGAUCCAAGUGCAAGGACAAAGAGAUUUAAAGGAAGGUUAUUUACUCAAAGAGCUCUCCAAUUUCCUGAUGGCAGAAUUCACUGGGAAAAAAAACAACACAACUUACACCUGAGGAACUGUAGCUGAAAUUGCAGAUAGCCACUAGAGAGAGAGAGAAAAAAAAGGCUUCUUUAAAAACCAGUAACACCGCUAUUAUUGCAAUUCUGACUGUCAAGAAGUAAUUGCAAAUUGUUCUUGUGCCUGGACCUCCACUUGCAGAUCACAGACUGACUAUAAUAAGAAAUUAUCCCUUAAAAAGAAGGAGCCCCAGAGGAGUAGCAAAGACCAGCAUAAAAUAGGCCACAAAAAUCCUAACCAUUGAAUUUGAAGCACUAACAUACAAAAAAGAAAUGCAAGAUCACUUAGAUAUAACUUGGCCAAAACCUGCAGCAGGGAGAGCAGCCAGAAGACAUUUGAAGGAUGCGUUUGCAUGGGAAAUUCUUAGGGCUGAAGUACACAGAAAAGAACUAUUAAGGGGUGGGUAAGUAGGACUGAUGAAAUCAAAGGAAAAUGAAAGAAAAUGAUUUGACAGCAAUUGCGUGCUGUAUGGUUGCUGUGCUGUAUUUUCCCACGGGAAACAGUCAAAUGUGUUUCACUGGAAACAUUAAAAAACAACGCAGGCUGGACAGAAGCACGGAGAGAGUGCAGUAGUCAGAGAUGGGACUGGAGAGCAUUUCCACUCCUGAAUUACCUAUUUCCUGGCUGCCGUUUUAUUGUGAUUCAUUGUUUUUCCUUCUGGAACCAAUAACCUCCCACACAACAACCCCAAUCAAUAGUGACAUUUGCCAUGCACAA
ensembl:lncRNA